UCCUCUCUUUAUAUCUGGCUCUAUUCUCUGUCUUUGGGGUUUUGGAGAGAGGUCCUCAGCGGGGGAGGGAGGGAGUUGGGGAAAGAGACUGCUUGCAGGGGAUCUCUGGUGGGGUCAGUCUCUGAAGUCCUCCUCUCCAGAAGCCCUGCCCAAGAAGAGCCAACAGACUUCCUGAGCCGCCUUCGAAGAUGUCUUCCCUGCUCCCUGGGGCGAGGAGCAGCCCCCUCUGAGUCCCCUCGGCCUUGCUCUCUGCCCAUCCGCCCCUGCUAUGGUUUAGAGCCUGGUAAGAGAUUUCCAUGAUCAUCUAUGAAGCCGGCAGAACACGGGAUAAGGUGCUAGUUUAAGAUCACUCAGCUAGGGGGUGGCUGUGUGGAGUCUCUAGCACCAGCCUUCAGGACAGAACCGUCCUGUCCUC
rnacentral:circRNA from 1 species